rnacentral:rRNA from 1 species
GCUUACGGCCAUACCACCCUGAACAUGCCCGAUCUCGGAAGCUAAGCAGGGUCGGCCUGGUUAGUACUUGGAUGGGAGACCGCCUGGGAAUACCAGGUGCUGUAAGCU